rnacentral:rRNA from 1 species
GACGUAGGGCGCGAGCGUUGUCCGGAUUUAUUGGGCGUAAAGAGCUCGUAGGCGGCUUGUCGCGUCGACUGUGAAAACCCAUGGCUCAACCAUGUGGUCUGCAGUCGAUACGGGCAGGCUAGAAUUCGGUAGGGGAGACUGGAAUUCCUGGUGUAGCGGUGAAAUGCGCAGAUAUCAGGAGGAACACCGGUGGCGAAGGCGGGUCUCUGGGCAACAACUGACGCUGAGGAGCGAAAGCGUGGGGAGCAAACAGG